CCCCACUGCUAUCGGGAUAGGACUAAGACAUGCUAGUCGAGCGCCUCCCAGCCACGACGGAGGCGCGGCGCACAGCUCAGUAACACGUGGCUAACCUGCCCUCGGGACAGGAAUACCCCCGGGAAACUGGGGCUAAUCCUCGAUAGGUGAAGAACUCUGGAAUGAGUCUCCGCCCAAAAGACGCUUAAAUCAUGCUUUUAGGCGCCGCCCAAGGAUGGGGCCGCGACCGAUCAGGUAGUUGGUGAGGCAACGGCUCACCAAGCCUUUAACCGGUGCGGGCCGUGGGAGCGGGAGCCCGGAGAUGGGCACUGAGACAAGGGCCCAGGCCCUACGGGGCGCAGCAGUCGCGAAAACUUUGCAAUACACGAAAGUGUGACAGGGCUAUCCCGAGUGCCAUCCGCUGAGGAAGGCUUUUACCCAGUCUAGAAAGCUGGGAGAAUAAGGAGAGGGCAAGUCUGGUGUCAGCCGCCGCGGUAAUACCAGCUCUCCGAGUGGUGUGGAUGUUUAUUGGGCCUAAAGCAUCCGUAGCUGGCCAAGUUAGUCCCCUGUUAAAUCCACCGAAUUAAUCGUUGGUGUGCGGGGGAUACUGCUCGGCUAGGGGACGAGAGAGGCCGACGGUAUUUUCGGGGUAGGGGUGAAAUCCUAUAAUCCCGAGAGGACCACCAGUGGCGAAGGCUGUCGGCUAGAACGCGCCCGACGGUGAGGGAUGAAAGCUGGGGGAGCGAACCGGAUUAGAUACCCGGGUAGUCCCAGCUGUAAACGAUGCAGGCUAGGUGUUUGGGCGGCCACGGGCCGCUCUAGUGCCGCAGGGAAGCUGUUAAGCCUGCCGCCUGGGGAGUACGGUCGCAAGGCUGAAACUUAAAGGAAUUGGCGGGGGAGCACCACAAGGGGUGAAGCUUGCGGUUUAAUUGGAGUC
rnacentral:rRNA from 1 species